rnacentral:rRNA from 1 species
AUACGUAGGUGGCAAGCGUUGUCCGGAAUUAUUGGGCGUAAAGCGCGCGCAGGUGGUUCCUUAAGUCUGAUGUGAAAGCCCCCGGCUCAACCGGGGAGGGUCAUUGGAAACUGGGGAACUUGAGUGCAGAAGAGGAUAGUGGAAUUCCAAGUGUAGCGGUGAAAUGCGUAGAGAUUUGGAGGAACACCAGUGGCGAAGGCGACUGUCUGGUCGAUAACUGACACUGAGGCGCGAAAGCGUGGGGAGCAAACAGGAUUAGAUUCCCUGGUAGUCCACGCCGUAAACGAUGAGUGCUAAGUGUUGGGGGGUUUCCGCCCCCCAGUGCUGCAGCUAACGCAUUAAGCACUCCGCCUGGGGAGUACGGUCGCAAGACUGAAACUCAAAGGAAUUGACGGGG